AUCCUGGUGAUCCAGAUGCACACUGUGCUAACCCCACACAACAGUGAAACAUAACAAGUUGAGGCUGUCCUUAACUGGCCAAGGUGCUGCAUGUCAAGAGGAAGUACACCAUUCAAACAUGACUUGCCUGGGGGUCAUCUGAGCCUGUGGAAUUGUUUCAGCUUGUAACUCACUGCUGUGUCUUGCUUCUGCCAUUUGCUUCCAAAUAAGCAGCUAAGAGGACAAUUUAAUUUGCUCAUGCAGCUGCCCUGAAUCCAGGCACGUUCCAGAUGCAAGCAAGCCAAAGUUCUCUAUCUGACCUCAAUCUACACCUUCCUAGAGGGAAAUAAGGAAGCUCUGCAACUGACACUCCUGACUGUAAGAAACUAAAGUGUGCCACAAGCAUUUCUCUACCUGUCUUAGUAGCCGGGGAGAAGAGAAAGUUUCUGCCUCGUGGAAGAAAGUGAGCACAGCUAAAGCCUUGUUAAACACAGAGAGACACUUGCUACCUUUCAGCUUUCUCCCUGUGAUUUGGCACCAAUUCAUUCUGCCCACACAAUUUCUCCAGUGUGACUUGGCUUUGCAAAAAGCUCCUUAAUCCACCACAGAAAGGUUUUAAUGCAAUUGCAUCCAGCACAGUCCUAUUUGACUUGAUUUAAAUGAGAGAGUUAAAUCUCAGUCUAGACAGAGUGCUCUCUAGCUCCUGUGGAUCUUGUACCCAGCAAGCUGUGUACUCAUCUCUGAGUAUGUUUCUCAUUUUCCAGACGAGCCCAGGGGAUCUGCACACCCCCUCCAUAAAAUUCCUGUCUGUGCUAAAUUGCCUCAUCGUCCUGAUUUAUACCUCAAUAAAACAUAUCAGGAGAAGGAGAAAAUAAGUUUAAUUGCAUAACUGACAUACGUAUGCAGGACGCAUUUUUGGUGGUUCUUUAUGCACUUAUCUUCUUUAAAGGGGUAUAAAGAACCAUGACUUUCACGUAUAGUGGGAACAGCAAAAAGUGAGGAGAAUAAAUGUAAGGAGCAAGGAGUAAACCCUAAACAAGUCUGGCUUCUGGAAAAGGACCUCUGUUAAAGGAUUCACUGAAAAAUAUGAAGAGAUGCAUUUGGGAUUUUAGGGGAUUUCAAUAAAAACAUGGAGAUUCCUUCUGUCCUUUAUUAAACCAAACUAUUUGGACUAUUUGAUGUUGAAAGUUGGAAAGCGUUUCAUUUUUUAAAACAGUAACAAGUGGAAAAAAGUCUUUUAUGUUGCUUAUGAAAUCAUCAAUUCCAAGCUCUUAUUUGAUUUCUUUCGCCCAGACCCCUUUCAAAGUUGCACUGUGGUUUUCUUUUAAAAUAGUUUCUCAAGAAUGAAUACAGUGCUGGAGACUGGGACAGGUAUGCAAGCCUGGCUUCAGGUUUGGGCUGUGAAGUUUCUACUGGCAACCAUGUCCUACUGACAGGCACUCUGGAAGCACCUUAAAUGAGUGUUCAAGCAGCACAUGCAAGAUAAGAUGACUCCAGGAGGAUUGGAAAUGGGUUCAUUACUGGGAGACCAGCAUGAUUUAUUUAAUUACAUCAUAAAUGGACUUCCUUAUCUUUUCUAUCACCCAUGUAAGGAUGUAGCUGCUAUGACUGUUCUUUGGGUGUGAAAGCUAAAGAGCAAAGUUAAGAUUGUAGUUCAGCUCUAAUUUGGUCUCAUUACUGAUAAAGUGUUUAUUAUGGCAUGGAGUUUGUCCUUUGUUCUGCAUGACUUGAUUCUUGCCUCAAGGGUCAUCUAGACUUCAAAUGCUGGAGAGUAGGUGUGUGGUAAUGCACAGACAUGCCUAUAUGUUUGUGUGUUAGGCUGACAGAAAGAGGAAAUACUUCAUUAAACAUGUAGGUCAGCAGCAUUCUUAAUCUCCUUUUCUUUCACUGUUUGUGCCCUGUGGUGUUGCCCUCUGCAGAGAAAUUUGUCUGCUGUGGUGCUGUGGACCAGCAAAUGGGGAGUGUGAGUUUGGGAACUUGUGAAGGUUUUGGAGUGGUGGGGUACAAGGCCUCCUGAAGUGUCUUAGACUGUCUAUAGGAGAUAGUCAAUUUUUCCUGUUGACAUUUAGAACUUUCCCUUAAAUAUGAAAAA